rnacentral:rRNA from 1 species
GACGAACGCUGGCGGCGUGCCUAAUACAUGCAAGUCGAGCGGACAGAAGGGAGCUUGCUCCCGGAAGUCAGCGGCGGACGGGUGAGUAACACGUGGGCAACCUGCCCUGCAGAUUGGGAUAACUCCGGGAAACCGGGGCUAAUACCGAAUAACAUUGGAAACCUCAUGGUUUCCUUUUAAAAGGCGGCUUCGGCUGUCACUGCAGGAUGGGCCCGCGGCGCAUUAGCUAGUUGGUGAGGUAACGGCUCACCAAGGCGCCGAUGCGUAGCCGACCUGGGAGGGUGAUCGGCCACACUGGGACUGCGACACGGCCCAGACUCCUACGGGAGGCAGCAGUAGGGAAUCUUCCGCAAUGGACGAAAGUCUGACGGAGCAACGCCGCGUGAGUGAAGAAGGUUUUCGGAUCGUAAAACUCUGUUGUUAGGGAAGAACAAGUACGGUAGUAACUGCCCGUACCUUGACGGUACCUGACCAGAAAGCCACGGCUAACUACGUGCCAGCCGCCGCAGUAAGAC